CCUCGAAACCAAGAAAUCCUCUGCUUCUCCCUCCAGAGUGCUGGGAUUAAAGGCAUCCUCCACCACUGCCCAGCCAUUUUACCUAGUGGUCCUCUGCUUUGAACCCAGAGCUUACAGCCCCAGUCAGAGUUCUAGUGUUUCCUUUUUUUUUCUCUUUUGGUUGAGAUAGUAUCUACCUGGCCUGGAAGUCUGAAACCAAUCUGGCCUCAAGUUCUGCCUCCACCUGCUAAUGCUGGGAUUAAAGGAAAAUUCCAUAGUCUCUUGGAACAGAUUUGUCUGAAGACAUGCACUUGUCUGCAGGAUCGCUGCUCAGGUGUGGUGCUGUUGACCAGCGAGGAGGGUGUUGCCCGAGACCUAAGAAGCAUCUACAUGCAGGACGCACAAGGAUCAAAGAAAGGCUUGUGCCACCACAGCAUGGCCUAUGUGGCCUUCAAAGAGGGAUAAAAUACAUUUUUUUAAAAAGCCUGUAAGUGGACUUGUCAUUAAAGCACCUGCUUUAUAGUACAGAUUAAAAAGGAAACAUAGAAAAGAAAUACAGAAAGAACAUAAAGGAAGCUAAAUUACUGUCUGAUAUACUUUUAAAUGUAACAAAGUGGCACAAGUCUACUCUCAUCACAAACUAGGAAAAUGCCAUUUUGUUGGGUAUGGUGAGUUAUGACUUGGCACAACCUUGGACAGGGCUUGGUGGCGCACUUGGAGACAGGCAGAUUCUCUUAAUUUGAGGACAGUUUGGUCUGCAUAGUGAAUUCCAAGAGAGACAGGGCUCAAAUAAAGAGGGGGAAAAUCUCUUUAGGUAUAUUGUAUAUAUAGCCACUGGAUUUGAGAAGACCUACACAGGUAAAAAUGUAUUGACUGCUCAAGGCUUGGUGAUUUUAGUUUAACAAAUUAUUUUCUUUAGGACUGAAACCUUUCCCCACUCGCCCAGGGUUUUCUCUUUUUAGCCUUGACUUACAGAGAACUAACUACCUGCCUCUGCCUCCUGAAUGCUGGGAGUCAAGGCUGAGCCACAACUGCCUGGUGGGCUGAAACCUCUUAUAAAAAGCACACAGACAAAUAUACAAGGUGACCUUGGCCUGGUAGGACAUACCUGUAAUCCUGAAGCAGGAUUACAGGAUGGAGCCAGCAGGUAUUCUGUAGGAAGAGCUUGUCUAAAUAAUGCCUGUGUGUACAUGUAUGACAUUCCUACUUACUGAUGAAAGAUUUGUCUCUACAGGUCACAGCAGGCUUUGGGGGUGGGGGGGGAAGCCCUGAAUGGCCCAGCAAUUUGCCAUAAGACAUAGUCUACAACUCAGGAUUUUUUAUUUUGUUCAGACAGGUUCUCUCAGUUAAGU